UGAACGCUGGCGGCGUGCCUAAUACAUGCAAGUCGAGCGAACAGACGGGGAGCUUGCUCCUCUGACGUUAGCGGCGGACGGGUGAGUAACACGUGGAUAACCUACCUAUAAGACUGGGAUAACUUCGGGAAACCGGAGCUAAUACCGGAUAAUAUAUUGAACCGCAUGGUUCAAUAGUGAAAGACGGAUUUGCUGUCACUUAUAGAUGGAUCCGCGCCGCAUUAGCUAGUUGGUAAGGUAACGGCUUACCAAGGCAACGAUGCGUAGCCGACCUGAGAGGGUGAUCGGCCACACUGGAACUGAGACACGGUCCAGACUCCUACGGGAGGCAGCAGUAGGGAAUCUUCCGCAAUGGGCGAAAGCCUGACGGAGCAACGCCGCGUGAGUGAUGAAGGUCUUCGGAUCGUAAAACUCUGUUAUUAGGGAAGAACAAAUGUGUAAGUAACUAUGCACGUCUUGACGGUACCUAAUCAGAAAGCCACGGCUAACUACGUG
rnacentral:rRNA from 1 species